GACUCGAAAGCGGAGUGGUCCGCGUCUGCCACUUGAUGUACUGUCGUGGUCGAAUGCUGAAUACAGAUCUCGCCGGUUCGACUCCGGCUCGAGUCU